UCAGAGGUCUCGAGCGUAGGCGGAAUCACUGGGCUUAAAGCGUGUGUAGGCGGGUCGUUAAGUACCUUGUGAAAUCCCAUGGCUCAACCAUGGAACUGCUGGGUAUACUGGCGAUCUUGUGCAACCUAGGGGCGAGCGGAACAGAUGGUGGAGCGGUGAAAUGCGUAGAUAUCAUCUGGAACGCCAUGUGAAAACGCUCGCUGGGGGUUUGCAGACGCUGAGACACG
rnacentral:rRNA from 1 species